rnacentral:lncRNA from 1 species
CUUCAAUUUACAGCAUUUAAACACUUAAAUUUUCAGCACUUAAACAUAUUAAUUAACAACAUUUACACACCUCAAUUACAGCGAUAAAACAUCUCAAUUUCCAGCAACUAAAUACUUCAAUUUGUAGCACUUAAACACUUAAAUUUGCAGCACUUAAACACUUCAAUUUACAGCAUUUAAACACUUAAAUUUGCAACACUUAAACAUAUCAGUUAACAACAUUUAUACACCUCAAUUACGGCGAUAAAACAUCUCAAUUUCCAGCAACUAAACACUUCAAUUUGCAGCACUUAAAACACUUCAAUUUGCAGCACUUAAACACGCCAAUUUACAGCAUUUAAACACUUAAAUUUGCAGCACUUAAACAUAUCAAUUAACAACAUUUAUACACCUCAAUUACAGCGAUAAAACAUCUCAAUUUCCAGCAACUAAGCACUUCAAUUUGCAGCACUUAAACACUGCAAUUUGCAGCACUUAAACACUUCAAUUUACAACAUUUAAACACUUAAAUUUGCAGCACUUAAACAUAUCAAUUAACAACAUUUAUACACCUCAAUUACAGCGAUAAAACAUCUCAA